rnacentral:tRNA from 1 species
GGGCCGGUAGCUCAGUCGGUAGAGCAUCAAAGCGAUGUGCACGUCUUAUACGACGGCUGGGUAUUAUGCCAUCUAGGCAAACUGAAGGUCGGGAGUUCGAUUCUCCCCCGGCCCA